rnacentral:rRNA from 1 species
AAGUUACUAAGGGCGUAUGGGGGAUGCCUUGGCUCUCAGAGGCGAAGAAGGACGUGAUAAGCUGCGAUAAGCCACGGGGAUCAGCACAUAUGAAUUGAUCCGUGGAUUUCCGAAUGGGGCAACCCGGUAUAUUGAAGAUAUACCAUCCCGACUUGUCGGGAGGCAAACCCGGAGAACUGAAACAUCUAAGUACCCGGAGGAAGAGAAAACAAAUAGUGAUUCCGUUAGUAGUGGCGAGCGAACGCGGAGAAGCCCAAACCAUGGCAGUUACGGCUGCUGUGGGGUUGUAGGACUGCGACAUCCGAUCAAAAAUGAACGAGAAUGCACUGGGAAGUGCAGCCAAAGAGGGUGACAGCCCCGUAUUGGUAAGUUUUUGUGAGGUAGCAGUAUCCUGAGUAGGGCGGGGCAGGUGAAACCCCGUCUGAACCAGCCGGCACCAUCCGGUAAGGCUAAAUACUCCUGAGAGACCGAUAGCGAACAAGUACCGUGAGGGAAAGGUGAAAAGUACCCUGAAUAAGGGGGUGAAAUAGAACCUGAAACCAUACGCCUACAAGCGGUUGGAGCCCUGUAAUAGGGUGACAGCGUGCCUUUUGCAUAAUGAGCCUACGAGUUGCUCCUCACUGGCAAGGUUAAUCCCGUAGACGGGAGCAGCCGGAGCGAAAGCGAGUCUGAAUAGGGCGCUUAAGUCAGUGGGGGCAGACGCGAAACCUUGUGAUCUACCCAUGGCCAGGUUGAAGUGUCGGUAACACGACAUGGAGGACCGAACCAGUUGACGUUGAAAAGUCUUUGGAUGAGCUGUGGGUAGGGGUGAAAGGCCAAUCAAACUGGGAAAUAGCUCGUACUCCCCGAAAUGCUUUUAGGAGCAGCGUGGAGGUUAAGUCUGUCAGAGGUAGAGCUACCGAUAGGACUAGGGGGAGUCAAAUCCUACCAAAUCCUGACGAACUCCGAAUGCUGACAGAUAUACUCUGCAGUGAGGGCAAGGGUGCUAAGGUCCUUGUCCGAGAGGGAAAGAACCCAGACCUUCAGCUAAGGUCCCUAAAUCUAUACUAAGUUGAACUAAGGCGGUCCAGUUGCUUAGACAGCCAGGAUGUUGGCUUGGAAGCAGCCAUUCAUUUAAAGAGUGCGUAACAGCUCACUGGUCGAGCGACAGGGCAUCGAUGAUGAUCGGGCAUCAAGUAUAGUACCGAAGCUAAGGCAUUCCGAUUAUUCGGAAUGGGUAGGGGAGCAUUCUAUAGGCGGAGAAGCCGUUUGGUAACGGGCGGUGGAGCGUAUAGAAAAGCAAAUGUAGGCAUAAGUAACGAUAAGGCGGGUGAGAAACCCGCCCACCGAUAGACUAAGGUUUCCUGAUCAACGCUAAUCGGAUCAGGGUUAGUCGGGACCUAAGGCGAACCCGAAGGGGGUAGUCGAUGGACAAUUGGUUAAUAUUCCAAUACUACCGUAUGCAGCGAUGGGGUGACGGAGUAGUGAAAGAUCCGCGUACUGACGGAAUAGUACGUUAAAGGGAGUAGGUAUUGGCUUGGUAGGCAAAUCCGCCAGGCUAGCUGAACCUGAUAGUACCACAAUGCUUCGGCAGCGUGGAUAGUGAUCCUAAUCAGACUUCCAAGAAAAACCUCUAAGUAAUGUAUAUGGUACCCGUACCGUAAACCGACACAGGUAGUCAAGGAGAGAAUCCUAAGGUGCUCGAGUGAUCCGUGGCUAAGGAACUAGGCAAAAUGGCCCUGUAACUUCGGGAGAAGGGGCGCCUCCUCUGCAAAGAGAGGCCGCAGUGAAAAGGCCCAGGCGACUGUUUAGCAAAAACACAUGGCUUUGCGAAAUCGAAAGAUAAAGUAUAAGGCCUGACACCUGCCCGGUGCUGGAAGGUUAAGGGGGGAUGUUAUCCGUAAGGAGAAGCAUUGAACUGAAGCCCCAGUAAACGGCGGCCGUAACUAUAACGGUCCUAAGGUAGCGAAAUUCCUUGUCGGGUAAGUUCCGACCUGCACGAAUGGUGUAACGAUCUGGGCACUGUCUCAGCCACGAGCUCGGUGAAAUUGUAGUAGCGGUGAAGAUGCCGCUUACCCGCAACGGGACGAAAAGACCCCAUGAACCUUUACUAUAGCUUCACAUUGGCAUUGGGUAAAUGAUGUGUAGGAUAGGCGGGAGACUUCGAAGCUGUGUCGCCAGGCAUGGUGGAGUCGUUGGUGAAAUACCGCCCUUUAUUUAUUCGGUGCCUAAUCCGUCAGCAGACGGAGACAGUGUGUGGUGGGUAGUUUGACUGGGGUGGUCGCCUCCAAAAGAGUAACGGAGGCUUUCAAAGGUACCCUCAGUACGCUUGGUAACCGUACGCAGAGCGCAAUAGCAUAAGGGUGCUUGACUGUGAGGCCUACAAGCCGAUCAGGGUCGAAAGACGGAUAUAGUGAUCCGGUGGUUCCGCAUGGAAGGGCCAUCGCUCAAAGGAUAAAAGGUACUCUGGGGAUAACAGGCUGAUCUCCCCCAAGAGCUCACAUCGACGGGGAGGUUUGGCACCUCGAUGUCGGCUCGUCACAUCCUGGGGCUGGAGAAGGUCCCAAGGGUUGGGCUGUUCGCCCAUUAAAGUGGCACGCGAGCUGGGUUCAGAACGUCGUGAGACAGUUCGGUCUCUAUCUGUUGUGGGCGUUGGAAGUUUGAGGGGACCUGACCUUAGUACGAGAGGACCGGGUUGGACUGACCGCUGGUGUACCAGUUGUGCCGCCAGGUGCAUUGCUGGGUAGCUACGUCAGGAAGAGAUAAGCGCUGAAAGCAUCUAAGUGCGAAACUCCCCCCAAGAUGAGACUUCCUUUAAGGGACGUCAGAGAUGAUGACGUUGAUAGGCUGCAGGUGCAAGGGCAGGAAUGUCAGAGCCGAGCAGUACUAAUUACCCGUAAACUUU